rnacentral:rRNA from 1 species
CGUUACAGUAGACGUUUGAUCCUGGCGUCAGAGUGAACGCUGGCGGUAAGGCCGUAACACAUGCAAGUCGAACGGCAGCACAGUAAGAGCUUGCUCUUAUGGGUGGCGAGUGGCGACGGGUGAGGAAUACAUCGGAAUCUACCUUUCUGGGGAUAACGUAGGGAAACUUACGCUAAUACCGCAUACGGACCUUCGGGUGAAAGGCAGGGGACCUUCGGGCCUUGCGCGGAUAGAUGAGCCGAUGUCGGAUUAGCUAGUUGGCGGGGUAAAGGCCCACCAAGGCGACGAUCCGUAGCUGGUCUGAGAGGAUGAUCAGCCACACUGGAACUGAGACACGGUCCAGACUCCUACGGGAGGCAGCAGUGGGGAAUAUUGGACAAUGGGCGCAAGCCUGAUCCAGCCAUACCGCGUGGGUGAAGAGGGCCUUCGGGUUGUAAAGCCCUUUUGUUGGGAAAGAAAAGCAGUCGAUUAAUACUCGGUUGUUCUGACGGUACCCAAAGAAUAAGCACCGGCUAACUUCGUG